UCUUACCUUGGCCGAAUGUUAAGCUUGGGAGAAUUCAUCAAUGGCUUUUAGGGUUUCGGCAAUUCCCAUUGAAAAUUAAGAUUGAGAACUAAAGAAAUCGGAGUUAGAUCGGGGAAAAGUCAAAAUAGUCGAAUAAUCGUCUAACUUCGAUUUUCCAUCGUCCGAGAUAAAAAACCAAGCUGCAGACUCGAGGAUCGUUAGCGAAGAUCAUCACUCUAUCUACUAUCUCGGUAUUAAAACGUUUAAAUUUUAACUUAUGGCAUGUAUAGGCUAGAUAAUAUUUUGGGAGUCGUACUUUAAUAUGCUGUAUAUAUAUAUAUAUAAUUAAUAGCCAUACGAAAUUAGCUUAUUUUUCUUAUGGUUUAACUGAACUGAAAUGUUAUGUUUUGUUAUAAAAAAAAUUAAAAUUAUUAAA